AUUGAACGCUGGCGGAAUGCUUUACACAUGCAAGUCGAACGGCAGCACGGACUUCGGUCUGGUGGCGAGUGGCGAACGGGUGAGUAAUGUGUCGGAACGUGCCCAGGCGUGGGGGAUAACGUAGUGAAAAUUACGCUAAUACCGCAUACGAUCUAUGGAUGAAAGCGGGGGAUCGCAAGACCUCGCGCGAUUGGAGCGGCCGAUAUCAGAUUAGGUAGUUGGUGGGGUAAAGGCCCACCAAGCCAACGAUCUGUAGCUGGUCUGAGAGGACGACCAGCCACACUGGAACUGAGACACGGUCCAGACUCCUACGGGAGGCAGCAGUGGGGAAUUUUGGACAAUGGGCGAAAGCCUGAUCCAGCCAUUCCGCGUGCAGGAUGAAGGCCCUCGGGUUGUAAACUGCUUUUGUACAGAACGAAAAGGUUUCUACUAAUACUAGGAGCUCAUGACGGUACUGUAAGAAUAAGCACCGGCUAACUACGUGCCAGCCGCCGCAGUAA
rnacentral:rRNA from 1 species